GAUGAAGAAUGCAGCGAAAUGCGAUAAGUAAUGUGAAUUGCAGAAUUCAGUGAAUCAUCGAAUCUUUGAACGCACCUUGCACCCUUUGGCAUUCUGAAGGGUAUGCUCGUUUGAGUGUCAUUGUACUCUCACACUCCCGAUCUUUGCAUUGGGAGCAGUGGACUUGGGUUUGCUGCUUCACCGUCGCUUACCUCAAAUAGGUUAGUGCAACUCUUGGUUGGACAUAGUACGGCGUGAUAAGUGUUCUUCGCCGGUGCCUCGCAAAGAGGGUGGCCGAUCGGGAUGUUGUGCUCCAAACCGUCUUCGGACAAUCUCUGACGACUUGACCUCAAAUCGAGUAAGACUACCCGCUGAACUUAAGCAUAUCAAUAAGCGGAGGA
rnacentral:misc_RNA from 1 species